AGAGGAGGCAUCCAAAGGGAUCGCAUUGAUCCAAAGUUUUUUAUUAUCCCAAUAUUUUGGAUCAUGCUAUCCCUUUGGAUUCCUCCUU
rfam:Cephalotus follicularis DNA, scaffold: scaffold6, isolate: St1.